GUUAGAACUAGCAAAAAUUGCUCCAAAAUUUUUAUUAUACGCUUGUUAAUUUCACAAUUGGGCUGUGGCCCUUCCCGAUUUCUCCACAAUCCAAUUUCUAAAUAAAAAAUUGAAGCGACAAGAAGUGAAUUGACCUAGUUCCUGAGUUCCGUCUGAGGUCCGACCGUCCCCAUCGACCAUCGUCGCUCGCGCCUCAUUGGAGUCAGGAUGCUUGCUGUAUCGCGAUUCGCGGUGUCCGACUCUCCGGUCUCGCUAAUCGCCAUUCACUGAUCCACCGUAACAGCCAGCACUCACCGAAAAUCAGAACUUCAAAGGGAGGCUAGGAUUGAUCAAGAGUUUUUUGGAGGUGAUGGAGGUUGAGGGUGGGGGAAACUCUAGCGAUCAUUUCCUUUAAAUAGGGCUCAAGGCCCGGAAUUUUGGGACUCAUCCGCAGCCACAUCGUGGUGACCAAUUGAACUGCACAUUUCCUCAGGCCACGCCAUGGUAGACCUUCCACCAUAUCUUGACCACCAAUUUUUCACAAAAUAGGAAUAAAGACUCGUAUUUUCACUGGCGGUACAAUGAUACUCUGAUUUUAGGGAUUAUAACUUAUGGAUCAAAUGGUCUUACGAAAAUGGCUUUUUAUCUUAUUUAAAAUUUGAAAAAGUUACUGUGAAAA